UACGUAGGGUGCAAGCGUUAAUCGGAAUUACUGGACGUAAAGCGUGCGCAGGCGGUUUUGUAAGUCUGACGUGAAAUCCCCGGGCUCAACCUGGGAAUUGCGUUGGAGACUGCAAGGCUAGAAUCUGGCAGAGGGGGGUAGAAUUCCACGUGUAGCAGUGAAAUGCGUAGAGAUGUGGAGGAACACCGAUGGCGAAGGCAGCCCCCUGGGUCAAGAUUGACGCUCAUGCACGAAAGCGUGGGGAGCAAACAGG
rnacentral:rRNA from 1 species